AACGCACAUUGCGCCCGCCAGUAUUCUGGCGGGCAUGCCUGUUCGAGCGUCAUUUCAACCAUCAAGCCCUAGGCUUGUGUUGGGGCCCUGCGGCUGCCGCAGGCCCUGAAAAACAGUGGCGGGCUCGCUGUCACACCGAGCGUAGUAAAACAUCUCGCUUUGGACGUGCGGCGGGUUCUUGCCGUUAAACACCCCCCUUCUCAAGGUUGACCUCGGAUCAGGUAGGAAUACCCGCUGAACUUAA
rnacentral:misc_RNA from 3 species